GACGAACGCUGGCGGCGUGCUUAACACAUGCAAGUGGAGCGACGAACCAGGGCUUGCCCUGGGGCAGAGCCGCGAACGGGUGAGUAACACGUGGGUCACCUGCCUCGAUGACCGGAACAACCCGAGGAAACUCGGGCUAAUACCGGAUGUGCCCGCAGGGGAAAGGAAGCUUCGGCCUCCGCAUCGAGAUGGGCCCGCGGCCCAUUAGCUUGUUGGUGAGGUAACGGCUCACCAAGGCACGAUGGGUAGCUGGUCUGAGAGGACGAUCAGCCACACUGGGACUGAGACACGGCCCAGACUCCUACGGGAGGCAGCAGUGGGGAAUCUUGCGCAAUGCGCGAAAGCGUGACGCAGCAACGCCGCGUGGGGAAGAAGGCUUUCGGGUGUAAACCCUUCAGUUGGGACGAAGCUCCGUCGGUGAACAGCCGGCC
rnacentral:rRNA from 1 species